GACGAACGCUGGCGGCGUGCCUAAUACAUGCAAGUCGAGCGGACUUAAAAAGCUUGCUUUUUAAGUUAGCGGCGGACGGGUGAGUAACACGUGGGCAACCUGCCUGUAAGACUGGGAUAACUUCGGGAAACCGGAGCUAAUACCGGAUAAUCCUUUUCUACUCAUGUAGAAAAGCUGAAAGACGGUUUACGCUGUCACUUACAGAUGGGCCCGCGGCGCAUUAGCUAGUUGGUGAGGUAACGGCUCACCAAGGCGACGAUGCGUAGCCGACCUGAGAGGGUGAUCGGCCACACUGGGACUGAGACACGGCCCAGACUCCUACGGGAGGCAGCAGUAGGGAAUCUUCCGCAAUGGACGAAAGUCUGACGGAGCAACGCCGCGUGAGUGAUGAAGGUUUUCGGAUCGUAAAACUCUGUUGUUAGGGAAGAACAAGUACGAGAGUAACUGCUCGUACCUUGACGGUAC
rnacentral:rRNA from 1 species